rnacentral:rRNA from 1 species
AAUAGAUACCCCGGUAGUCCACGCCGUAAACGAUGAGUGCUAAGUGUUGGGGGGUUUCCGCCCCUCAGUGCUGCAGCUAACGCAUUAAGCACUCCGCCUGGGGAGUACGGUCGCAAGACUGAAACUCAAAGGAAUUGACGGGGGCCCGCACAAGCGGUGGAGCAUGUGGUUUAAUUCGAAGCAGCGCGAAGAACCUUACCAGGUCUUGACAUCCCGGUGACCACUAUGGAGACAUAGUUUCCCCUUCGGGGGCAACGGUGACAGGUGGUGCAUGGUUGUCGUCAGCUCGUGUCGUGAGAUGUUGGGUUAAGUCCCGCAACGAGCGCAACCCUUAUUCUUAGUUGCCAUCAUUUAGUUGGGCACUCUAAGGAGACUGCCGGUGAUAAACCGGAGGAAGGUGGGGAUGACGUCAAAUCAUCAUGCCCCUUAUGACCUGGGCUACACACGUGCUACAAUGGACGGUACAAACGGUUGCCAACCCGCGAGGGGGAGCUAAUCCGAUAAAACCGUUCUCAGUUCGGAUUGUAGGCUGCAACUCGCCUACA